ensembl:misc_RNA Metazoa_SRP Metazoan signal recognition particle RNA
GCCAGGCGUAGUGGUGUGCGCCUGUAAUCCCUGCUACUCAGGAGGCUGAGGCAGGAGAAUCACUUGAACCCGGGAGGCGGAGGCUGCAGUGAGCCGCGAUGGCACCACUGCACUCCAGCCUGGGAGACAAAGUGAGACUCUGUUUCAA